rnacentral:rRNA from 1 species
GAUGAACGCUGGCGGCGUGCCUAAUACAUGCAAGUAGAACGCUGAAGGAAGGAGCUUGCUCUUUCCGGAUGAGUUGCGAACGGGUGAGUAACGCGUAGGUAACCUGCCUGGUAGCGGGGGAUAACUAUUGGAAACGAUAGCUAAUACCGCAUAACAGUAGAUGUUGCAUGAUAUCUACUUAAAAGGUGCAAUUGCACCACUACCAGAUGGACCUGCGUUGUAUUAGCUAGUUGGUGAGGUAACGGCUCACCAAGGCGACGAUACAUAGCCGACCUGAGAGGGUGGUCGGCCACAAUGGGACUGGGACACGGCCCAGACUCCUACGGGAGGGAGCAGUAGGGGAUCUUCGGCAAUGGAGGGAAGGCGGGCCGAGCAACGCCGCGUGAGGGGAGAAGGUUUUCGGAUCGUAAAGGUCUGUUGUAAGAGAAGAACGAGUGUGAGAGUGGAAAGUUCACGCUGUGACGGUAUCUUACCAGAAAGGGACGGCUAACUACGUG